AGGCAGCUCGCACCCCCACCAGGCGGAGCUGCAACGGGGCUGGGGCCUCGGGCCCCCACCUCUGCACCCGGGGAUGGGAGGUCGGAUGAGGAAGUCCAGCCUCCAUCCAGCCGCAAGCUCUGGUGGCAACUUGUACUCAGGCUCGCUUGCCCGAAGGCGGGGGCUCCAGCCGCCGGGUUUAGGUGGGGGCGGGGUAGGGAUGGGGGUUGGGAGGGGCCGGAACUGGGUGGCCAGCCUGAAUUAGGAACCGCUCCCAACCAUCCGAGGCCGGGCCAGAAGCGUCUCUUUGACCGAUGGGAGCCAUCUUUAGAUCCCUGCCUCUAUGCUUGCGAGGGGGCGGGUGGCAGGCGCGCGGCCUGGGGGCUCACGGUAGCCCCCGGGCUCCGAGCCUUCGGGGAGCCGGGAAUCUCGGCUCCCUGGAGUCACACGCUCCGGAAGCCCCGGUACCCCAAGCACCGAUUGGCUGUGAAUCCUGCACUGCCGAAUCCCAGCCGGCCCGCCUGCAGCCCCGAAGUGAAGGGGCUCAGAGUGGAUGACCGGGUGGCGGUGGCCAGCGCGGUCCCCAGCCGAGUACCGGGUGGCCCGACAGGUGGGAGCGCGCGGCCUGGGCUCUGCGGUGAGCGCCACCGGGGCCGUCUAGAACCCGAGUUUCAGCCGCCUUGUUGAUCCUGUCCCGCCUCCAGACGUUGGAAAUGACUGAUGCGAGUUCGACCCGGAAGCCAACCUCAGGAAGCCCUCUUUCCUUGCAAGGACUCCUGGAACCCGCUAGGCGGGGGCGGGGAGCGGAACAUGCUGACACCCUGAGUCCCGCCCCGCCCCGCCCCGGGUCCCAGCGCUCCGGGAGCACACAGAACACGCGGACGAGAACAUAAACAAGGUUAUUUUAUUACUUCCUUUUCACUUUUUGCACACUCAUCAAUAAAUAAACUGCAACGGAAAAAAAAAAAAAAAGAAAGCAAGCAGAAUCCUAAUAUCCUGUCUGUGGCCC